AAAGUCGUAACAAGGUUUCCGUAGGUGAACCUGCGGAAGGAUCAUUAGAAAAAUCAGUCGAGUGCCGCAAGGUGCGAGGCUUUUCUAAAACCACACACAACUGUGCACGCCCCUUGGGCAACAAACCAGAUAACUGUAAUGAAUGUAUAAACAAAACAAUAAUACAACUUUCAACAACGGAUCUCUAGGCUCUC
rnacentral:misc_RNA from 1 species